CUCGCGCCACACUCUCCCUCGCACACCGCCGAACGAAGCCCAAACGUUAGGGUACUCAGAAAUUCAACCUAAAAUACUUCUGGCGUUCUCCCUCCCUAUCUAACAGCCCAACGAAGCCCAAUGGCCGGAGGCCCAAAUUUCCCCCAACCCAAUCGGCCCCAAUCUCCGCUUCUCCCCUCUCCUUUCACAUUUCGCGAAACUGUAAGUGGCGGCCGGCGGACACCGGCGAGGAGGCGACGGACCGACGGCGCACUCCGUCGAGGGGACGCGGAAGAGGUAUUCGGCAACCUACGAGCCAAGGAGGCGACGCGGUGCGGCGCUGAGCACGGUGCCGGAGGCCCGGAGCGGCGGGCGCAACCGGCUUGGCGGGGCGGUGUCCGUGCUUGAGGCACCGAGCGGAACGGAGGCCGCAGGGCGGCUGCCACCGGGGCUGUCGGCUUCACCUAGUGGCUGCUAUCGGAGAGGCGUUGGGCGGGGCUAGUGGACAGCCAGCGGCUAGAAGCCAUAUUUUGGUCUUAAAUCGAGUUCUCAUGCUUGGUUCACAAGCUCAAACAGUUAUUGGGAGGCCAAUACUACCUGAUGCUGUUGUUCAUGCUGUUGUAGAAGAACAUGUAAGAUGAACAGUUGGAAACUAAAUUCUUGAACUCUUUUGUUUUUGUUACCACAACAUUUUGCACUGACGAAAUUUAUGAAAUGGUUACUAAACUCAAUUUAACAGAAACAAGUCAGUGAGUGUAUUUGCUCGAUUAGCGGAAUUUUAGUUUGCAAUAUAUGUGUCAGACACUUUAUGUGUAUCUAUGUAGAUUUCAGAUUUAUUUGAGUGUAUUUAUUUUAGCAAUUCAGUUGGUAUGCAUGCUCAUUUACUUACUGAGUAGUGACUAUUUUAACCUACGGAGUACUGAUUUUGAUGCAUUUGAUGCAUUCCUGCUCGCUCAUCUUGUAAGUACCGGGCUGCAUGCAUGAUGCCUGUGAGCUGAAUGGUCGUGGAACGCAUGCCUAAGCUGUGCCUGCUCAUCAGGUACUUACAACACUUUAGCAGAGAUUUGGGUGGGUAGCGCAAAGGAUAUGGAGGCAUUGCUGGUCGAUUACCAAUACUGUGUUUCCCAAGUCAACUUGAAGGAGGAAGAGACCAAGGUCUGCAGUGAGUCCUUGUAUUGUAGUAUGAAGCCAGGGACAUGGAUGAACUUCAGUCGAAGCUGAACCAAGCGAUGCAAGAGUUGGGUGAGCUUCUGCAAGAUAGAAGAAGCCUAGCUGCUUGCAACGGGAGUACGCUGGAAUGGUGCAUUUCCUGAUCUGUUGGCUUGCAAAUCUUGUAAGCUGGUAACCCUACUGUGCAAAAUUGAUAAUGAGUGUUUUCUAUUUGAGCAGUAAAUGGUGUUUGUUCUUGUAUUUAAUGGCAGAUCCAAAAAAGAAGGAAGAGAAGCAUGUGAGAAAGAGAAUUGUGAA